CGGACGGGUGAGUAAUGUCUGGGAAACUGCCCGAUGGAGGGGGAUAACUGCUGGAAACGGUAGCUAAUACCGCAUAACGUCGCAAGACCAAAGAGGGGACCUUCGGGCCUCUUGCCAUCGGAUGUGCCCAGAUGGGAUUAGCUAGUAGGUGGGGUAAUGGCUCACCUAGGCGACGAUCCCUAGCUGGUCUGAGAGGAUGACCAGCCACACUGGAACUGAGACACGGUCCAG
rnacentral:rRNA from 1 species